UAAAAACGCACCAGAAACCUGAGACUCUGCGAGAGAAAGGAAGACGAUGAUACACAGGAAAUGGAGUCUGCUGACUGGACCCGUUGCCGUAUUGGGAGGCAUAGUCGCCACGGUCGUCGUCACCCACUUCGUCUUCGUCGGUAACGAUCGAUUUCUUAAAACUGAUCCAAGGAAGGAAGCCACCACUUCAAGAAAAUAAGACAAGGAUAAGAGUUGCAUUAUAAUGUGACCUUUUUUUUUGUGCUCAUGUGUUGAAAAUGUUGUCUCGGACAUGACUUUUUAAUAAUCCAGAAUUGCAAUCUGAGUUCUGAUUUUUGUGGAGUCA